CUUAUUCUGUGUAUUGCCUUAGUGAUAUCGAUGCUUCUCUUGGUGUCAUGGAUGGUCAAAACAAAGAAAAAAUGUUGUGCCGGGAGAGAAAUGCAACAGCCACUUGAGGAAAGCGGUUUAGGAAGCGAUCCUAACGUGGACACCAGUGAGAGAUCCACGGAAGGACUUAUAUCAGAGCCAUCUCGUAGAUCUCCAAUAAUUACCUCACCCCAGAAUGACAGAUAAAUCGAUAGCAGUCCUGAAUUAUAACUUGGUUGAAACGAAUUCUUCCGGAAACCAAAUUUUGGAUGAUUAAUGUAUUAAGUUGGACAUUAACUAAUUAUUUCUUGUAAACUUAUACAGUUAAAUAGUAAAGGAAAAAUUCCUACGGCCAUUUUAAUGGCCUAUUUCAUUAUUCACACGAUGGAAAAAAAACGGAUAAACAUUUCGAUUGGUCAACAAACCUAGCUACGCCACAAUCUGGCAUUUUUCAGCACUGUCUAGUUGUGAUGGAUGGACUGGAAUUCAAGCGCUGCAUCAAUGAUCAUGUCACUGUGUGUCAUGUACUUAUGGUGUUUAAAGUAAGAAAAAAACCAAUUUAAUAAAGAGCAUUAAAUGUAGAAAUCGGAAAAUAGUUCCUGAUUUUAUUGGAGGAGAGAUAACUCUUGCGACAAUGCGUGGUUAAAAUUGGCAUUUCCAGUUUUAUAAAGUGUAACGAUAAGAAAUAAAGAUAUAUAAUUAUGGCACUAUCAAAAAAUAAUAAUAAGAUAUUCGUAUAGUACGGGUUUUUUUUAGUGAAAAUACUAAAGCAUUUCGAUCCAAGA